GACGAACGCUGGCGGCGUGCCUAAUACAUGCAAGUAGGACGCAGUUGCGAACGGGUGAGUAACGCGUAGGUAACUACCUAUUAGAGGGGGAUAACUAUUGGAAACGAUAGCUAAUACCGCAUACUAGUAGAUGGACCUGCGUUGUAUUAGCUAGUCGGUAGGGGAAUGGCCUACCUAGGCAACGAUACAUAACCGACUUGGUAGGGUGAUCGGCCACAAUGGGAACGGGACAAGGGCCAGACUCCUAAGGGAGGGAGCAGUAGGGAAUCAUCGGCAAUUGGGGGAACCCUGACCGAGCAAAGCCGCCUGAGUGGAGAAGGGUUUCGGAUCGUAAAGCUCUGUUGUUAAGGAAGCGGUACUUAAACAGAAAGGACCGGCUAACUCCGUGCCAGCAGCCGCGGUAAUAC
rnacentral:rRNA from 1 species